ACCAUGUGACAUUGUUUGUAUUUGGUUAUUCACCUGACGCAGUAGAAUAACAUAGUGAACACAAACGUUUUUCACAGAGAUCAUCGAUCGGUAAGAAUAUAUUUCAUAUACUUCAUUUUAAUAUUUUAGAAGUAUGUUAUAACCCUUAUUUAAUCUCAUAUUUUUCUAAUUUUACAAUAUUAUCAUUAAUUUUUGUAUUCAACUUCCUUGUUGCUUCCUUCUAUAGGAGAUAUUCGUUAAAAUACCACAGAAAGAGAAAGUGAAUAUAUAAACUUCGUCUUACUUGCGAUCAUACCACACAUCGAAGUUUCUCAUCCGUGAUGAUAAAACAAAGAAUUCAUAAAAAGAUAUUAGUGUCAAAAGCUAAAAAGAAUGAACUGAGAAUCCAAAUUUAAUAUAUACUGAGCAAGCAAAGAAAAGCAUUUGUUUUAUGAUUAUUUCAAACAAUGUUUAAAAUAUUAUCAGUGAUAGAAAAGAGGGACGAAAGAUACCAAAGGGACAGUCACACUCAUAGAUAGAAAAUAAACUAACAACACUAUGGAUAAAAAUAAAAAGCCAAACAGACAAAUAAUAGUACAGAAAACUAUAGACUGGGCAACACGAACCCCACGAAACACGGGAUGAUUUCAGGUGCGCCGGAAGGGCAAGCAGAUACUGCUCCCAUCAUGUUGUUUAUACUACUGUUGCCUUUAUUUAUGUUAUUUCAAGUCCGGUAAAUAGUCUAAUCCGGUAGGUCAAAUUGGUGAAAAGGGAGGGUAUUGUAGUUACGCAAAAGGAACAUAUUCUAUUUUAUCUGUGAAACGUUUAUGCCAUAAACACUACAUGCCUGGGUCGUGUUUUAUUUUCAAAAUAUAUAUUAAAAAGAGGAUCUAAAAUUUCAUGUCCCAUGUAUAACAGUUUCAAAUUCCGUUUAAUUUCUAAAGUAGAAAGUCUCCAUUAGAAUAAAUAAAGAACAGUAAAUGUGUACGUUAGAAUGCAAGAGGGAUGGUAGGAGGGGUCCUGAUCCCGAAAUCCCAGGCUUAAAAACACGAAAUCCCGAAAUCCCGGGCUUAAAAACGCGAAAUCCCGAGGUCCCGAAAUUUGAAAAAAGAAUUCCCGGAUCCCGAAAGGGUCAAUCCCGAAAUACCGAGCUUAAAAACAGCCGAUCCCGGAGUCCCGAUAAAGGUCCUAUACCCCUCAUGUAACUAAGUGCCAUAAAUGCAUAGAAUUUUCAAUCAAUUUACUAUAUAGAAUUUUUUUUAAAGUUGUUACAUAAUAUUGUUCCUUUUUUUUCAUUACCAGAUUUAUUUUGAAAUGGCUUCUAUAGUUCCAUGUGGACCCUGUGGUCAUGACGGCAUAACAAAGAAUGCAGAGAAAUGGUGUACCGAUUGCAACGAAGGGUUUUGUAAUGUAUGUGAAAAAGCACAUACAUCAAUGAAAAUAUCGAGAGAACAUAAUUUGAUCCAAAUCGAAGAUUACCGUAAAAUUGAAAAUGUUAAGGUUUGCUUAGAGUGCAUGGAGCACGGGUCCAAACUUGAGCUAUACUGCAAGUUUCAUGAAAUGCCUAUUUGUUUGGCAUGCUUUCCAGCAAUGCACAAAAGUUGUUCAGAUGCCAUUAUUCCUCUAACUGAAGCUGCAAAAAAUGCAAAAGUAUCGACUUCUCUUGCGGACUUAGAACAUACUAUCAACAGCACAAUAGGUAACAUACAAGAGUUUGUUAUGGACCGAGAGGCAGCCAAAGAAAAAAUGGAAACGCAAGAAAUUAGUAUUAGAAAACUUAUCUCUAUUACACGACAAAAUAUAAAUAAACAUUUAGAUGAUCUGGAAAGAAAAUUAUUAAUUGAGUUGUCAACAACAUAUUCAUCUUGUAAGUCAAAAUAUCUAAAGUUAACAAACAAACUUAAUACAAUUGAAAAGAUUAUUAAACGCGUCAAGGAAGAAAUAUCUCAACUUAAGCGUUUUGCCCCCGACUUACACGUGUUCCUUAGCACGCAUCAGAUGAACAAAGAAGUACACGGCGAAAUAAAAGCCAUACAAGAAGCCAUAAGUUCCAUUGAUAAUUGCAACAUAGAAAUUGAAAUACACCAGGGGAUUACUUCACUAUUUAAUGACGUUGACUGCUUUGCAAAGAUAAAAGUUGAAAAAAGUACCAUCAGCUUUCCAUUUAAAGAUGCAAAGAUUGAUCAAGCUCAAUUACCAGCACAACUAAGAAGAUCCGUUCAUAAUACAAGGCUGGAGUUGAGAAAGAAGAUCACGAUUGAGCAAAGAAGACGUAGCAUGUUCAUUUCAGGGUGUACUAUUUUGGCAAAUGGUAACUUAUUGAUUGCAGAUUGCGAGGGACAUAAUGUAUUAUUAGAGUAUAACGAUGAAGGAAAGUUUAUCCGUGACAUACCCGUGUCUGCAAGGCCUUAUGAUCUCUCAUUUAUAGAUUCCGAUCGCAUCGCGGUUUCUUAUGGUAGUCAACGAUACAUCGAGAUAUUUGAUUUGAAUAAGAUAAUCGUUAUUAAAAGACUGACAUUAAAAAACGAUUGUUUGGGAAUAUCAUACAGUGAUGGAAAGAUUUAUGUUGUAGUAAGUGGUGAGGGAAUAGUGGUGUUUGAUAUGGAAGGAACCACACUUAAUACAAUAAAGUGUGGCAUAGCAACAAUUUUCAAUAUCACAGCUAGCAAAACUAGAAUCUAUUAUACAGAAUCCGAUCAGAACACUGUUUAUUGUUGCAGUUCAACUGGAGAAGAAAUAUGGGGUUUCAAGGAUAAGUCACUUGUAUUCCCUGGAGGACUUGCCGUUGAUUCUGACCAUAAUGUGUUUGUUGUAGGUUUAAAUUCUGAUACCCUUCUGAUGCUACAACAUGAUGGGAAAUUCAGCAAAACAUUACUAACUAAAGCAGAUGGAAUGCAUCGUCCAACACGCAUAUUCUACAACAAAGAAAAGAGCCUCUUGCUUGUGUGCAACAGCCACAACAGUGUCUGUUUGUUCAGUGUUAUUUAGCUGCAAUCCGUUUUGUUAAGGCUGACUUUACAUAGGGUAUACAAACGUGCACGUGUUAAAUAUUUGAUUGAUGAUGUUGACGACUUUCUCAAUGUCAUGAACAUGCACAAAAACAGUUAACUAUGCCACAACACUUCAAUUUACACGGUUUUGACUUUGGUUAGGCAUUAUUUGUGGCGGAGAAAAUAUACGUAAAUGAAGAUGUGGAGAAAAAAUUAGUGACUCAACACCCAAUUACUAAAAUAAUCAAAAUAAAU
rnacentral:lncRNA from 1 species